AUUGAACGCUGGCGGCAGGCCUAACACAUGCAAGUCGAGCGAGCGGCGGACGGGUGAGUACUGUCUGGGAAACUGCCUGAUGGAGGGGGAUAACUACUGGAAACGGUAGCUAAUACCGCAUACCAUCAGAUGUGUCCAGAUGGGAUUAGCUAGUAGGUGGGGUAAUGGCUCAACUAGGCGACGAUCCCUAGCUGGUCUGAGAGGAUGACCAGCCACACUGGAACUGAGGCACGGUCCAGAGUCCUACGGGAGGAAGCAGUGGGGAAUAUUGCACAAUGGGAGCAAGCCUGAUGCAGCCAUGCCGCGUGUGUGAAGAAGGCCUUAGGGUUGUAAAGCACUUUCAGCGGGGAGGCGUUACCCGCAGAAGAAGCACCGGCUAACUCCGUGCCAGCAGCCGCGGUAAUUC
rnacentral:rRNA from 1 species